rnacentral:lncRNA from 1 species
GGGGUUGCCUUACUAGGGGGUCGCCGGAGUUAGGGUUGGCAGAAGGGUAGGAGGGUGGGGGUAAGGGGUGAGGGCUGGGUAGUGAAGAUAGAAGAGAGAGAGGAGAGAGACAGAAGAGAGAGAGAGGAGAGAGACAGAAGAGAAAGAGAACUUACUUAGGGGGUCACGGAGAAGGGUCACCGGAGGGGGAGGAGGGUCGCCGGAGGAGGCAUGGGGAGAGGGAGAGAAGGGGCUGGGAGCUGGGGAGGGGUUAGUGGAAGUUAAUUGGGAGAGACAGAAAGAGAGAUAACAGAAGAGUCAAAUAAGG